rnacentral:rRNA from 1 species
GAUGAACGCUGGCGGCGUGCCUAAUACAUGCAAGUCGAGCGAACGGACGAGAAGCUUGCUUUUCUGAUGUUAGCGGCGGACGGGUGAGUAACACGUGGAUAACCUACCUAUAAGACUGGGAUAACUUCGGGAAACCGGAGCUAAUACCGGAUAAUAUUUUGAACCGCAUGGUUCAAAAGUGAAAGACGGUCUUGCUGUCACUUCUAGAUGGAUCCGCGCUGCAUUAGCUAGUUGGUAAGGUAACGGCUUACCAAGGCAACGAUGCAUAGCCGACCUGAGAGGGUGGUCGGCCACACUGGAACUUAGACACGGUCCAGACUCCUACGGGAGGCAGCAGUAGGGAAUCUUCCGCAAUGGGCGAAAGCCUGACGGAGCAACGCCGCGUGAGUGAUGAAGGUCUUCGGAUCGUAAAACUCUGUUAUUAGGGAAGAACAUAUGUGUAAGUAACUGUGCACAUCUUGACGGUACCUAAUCAGAAAGCCACGGCUAACUACGUG